rnacentral:rRNA from 1 species
AAUGAACGCUGGCGGCAGGCCUAACACAUGCAAGUCGAACGGAUCCUUCGGGAUUAGUGGCGGACGGGCGAGUAACGCGUGGGAACAUACCCUUUGGUACGGAAUAUCCUCGGGAAACUGGGAGUAAUACCGUAUGUGGUCGAGAGACGAAAGAUUUAUCGCCAAAGGAUUGGCCCGCGGUGAGUUAGGUAGUUGGUGGGGUAAUGGCCUCCCAAGCCGACGAUCCAUAGCUGGUUUGAGAGGAUGAUCAGCCACACUGGGACGGAGACACGGCCCAUAGUCCUGCGUGACGUAGCAUUGGGGAUUCUUAUACAAUGGUGGAAACCCUGAUCUAGCCAGGCCGCGUGAUCGAUGAAGGCCUUAUGGUUGUAAAGAUCUUUCAGGUGUGAAGAUAAUGACUGUUCCACCAGAAGAAGCUCCGGCUAACUCCGUGCCAGCCGCCGCGGUAAUAC